rnacentral:lncRNA from 1 species
AUGCAUAUGGCUCAGAAUCUCGACUCGGCUGCUGAGGUUUUGUCCAGGCGUGUUCCUUUUUUCCCUUCCUUGCCAGGCUUUCUGGUACAGCUUGCGAGUCCAGCAUGUAUUGUUUGGAUAGCAAAUCCAAAAGAGGCCCAGGAUGAAAUGAAUCAGCGUUACUGUUUCUUCCCCGACCCAUCUGUCUUCCCGGAAAGUCUGAGGUGUGGAUGACAAACAAUUUUGCGGAGAAAGAAGCAAAGGAAAGGUAGACAAGUGGACAGAGGACUUUAGAAAAUGCACCACAUUCCAAUGAGCGUCAGGGAGCCUCCGACUGUAGCACCAUCUCGGGGUCUUGCGGGGUUGCCAUAGAAAUGUGACCCCUAAGUACUGACCCCCACAUUCGAACAAGCAAGAGAAAAUCAUAUCCACUCUGCUACGGCACUUACCAAGGUGAGAAGAUAGACUGCUGCUUUCUCCACUGAUGUGCAGAGAUUGCAAUGGCUUCGUGAAUCAGAUGGGAAAAUGAGUUGAUACGCCUCCUUUUUUGAGCAUUUUACUUGA